AACGCGAUGUAAAGAUAGUCGUUGCAUAUUAAUGAAAUGAUAAAACCGGUUAAUUUUUGAAAUUAAAUGCGGCUAUGAUAUCGAACCAAAUAAUUUCAAAGAACCGGCCUAUCCUUAAACUCAAACAACAGAUAAAGACAUGCAAGUUAUGUAAAAAAAUUGUAAAUUAUUUACAUAAAAUGCAAUAAAAUGCAAAUUA